AGUGAACGCUGGCGGUAGGCCUAACACAUGCAAGUCGAACGGCAGCACAGUAAGAGCUUGCUCUUACGGGUGGCGAGUGGCGGACGGGUGAGGAAUACAUCGGAAUCUACUUUUUCGUGGGGGAUAACGUAGGGAAACUUACGCUAAUACCGCAUACGACCUACGGGUGAAAGCAGGGGAUCUUCGGACCUUGCGCGAUUGAAUGAGCCGAUGUCGGAUUAGCUAGUUGGCGGGGUACAGGCCCACCAAGGCGACGAUCCGUAGCUGGUCUGAGAGGAUGAUCAGCCACACGGGAACUGAGACACGGUCCAGACUCCUACGGGAGGCAGCAGUGGGGAAUAUUGGACAAUGGGCGCAAGCCUGAUCCAGCCAUACCGCGUGGGUGAAGAAGGCCUUCGGGUUGUAAAGCCCUUUUGUUGGGAAAGAAAAGCAGCAGGUUAAUACCCCGCUGUUCUGACGGUACCCAAAGAAUAAGCACCGGCUAACUUCGUG
rnacentral:rRNA from 1 species